UUACGGUCAUAUCACGUUGAAACGCCUGUUCUCCUAAGAUCUCUGAAGUUAAGCAACGUCAAGCCUGGUCAGUACCUAGUUGAGUGACCGCUUGGGAAUGCCAGGAGCUGUAAG